GAUGAACGCUGACCGAAUGCUUAACACAUGCAAGUCGAUGGGGAAGUGGUGCUUGCACCAUGGUAACCAUGGCGGACGGGUGAGUAACGCGUAAGGAACUUACCUGCGGGACCGGGAUAACAGCAGGAAACUGCUGACAAGACCGGAUAAGGUCAUUAAGCUGCAUAGCUUAGUGAUGAAAGGAGACGCCUGCGGAGAGCCUUGCGUCCUAUUAGCUAGUUGGAGGGGUAACGGCCCACCAAGGCGAAGAUAGGUAGCCGGCCUGAGAGGGUGGACGGCCACAAGGGGACUGAGAUACGGCCCUUACUCCUACGGGAGGCAGCAGUGGGGAAUAUUGGACAAUGGGGGCAACCCUGAUCCAGCAAUUCUGUGUGCACGAAGACGGUUUUCGGAUUGUAAAGUGCUUUCAGCAGGGAAGAAGGAAGUGACGGUACCUGCAGAAGAAGCGACGGCUAAAUACGUG
rnacentral:rRNA from 1 species